UGGCUCCCGGAAAGGGUGAGUGUCCAGA
rnacentral:piRNA from 1 species